CCUACGGGCGGCAGCAGUGAGGAAUAUUGGUCAAUGGACGAGAGUCUGAACCAGCCAAGUAGCGUGAAGGAUGACUGCCCUAUGGGUUGUAAACUUCUUUUAUAAAGGAAUAAAACGAGGCACGUGUGCCUUUUUGCAUGUACUUUAUGAAUAAGGAUCGGCUAACUCCGUGCCAGCAGCCGCGGUAAUACGGAGGAUCCGAGCGUUAUCCGGAUUUAUUGGGUUUAAAGGGAGCGUAGAUGGGUUGUUAAGUCAGUUGUGAAAGUUUGCGGCUCAACCGUAAAAUUGCAAUUGAUACUGGCAGUCUUGAGUACAGUUGAGGUAGGCGGAAUUCGUGGUGUAGCGGUGAAAGGCUGAGAUAUCACGAAGAACCCCGAUUGCGAAGGCAGCUUACUAAACUGUGACUGACAUUGAUGCUCGAAAGUGUGGGUAUCAAACAGGAGUAGAUACCCCUGUAGUC
rnacentral:rRNA from 1 species